rnacentral:lncRNA from 1 species
AAAGGAUGAACGUGUGUCUGGGCCCUCAGGGUUGCAAUAGGAAAGAUUCCCCACAGAGGCAGCCAGCGCUAGCUGCAGUCCACAGCCAUCCUGAGGAGUCCAUGGGUUUGCACUAUUAUUCACUAUGUAUGGGGCCAUGUGACUGAGAGGUUUUGUCACUUCUAGGACCCCACCUGAAACACCAUCACCUGCAUCAUUACAAGCCUUCUCCAGAAAGGUACUGAACUGCUCCAAGGCUUGGAGGGACCGGGGACACGGCCACGUCCCCCGCCCACCGCCCCCAAAGAAGCGGCAGGUACUUCUGAGAGACCUUCCUCUCCUGGGCACUUCUGGGCACCUCUGCUAGUCCCAGCUGCUCCUGGAACAUCGCAGUCAGUCACCAGGACGGACAAGAGUUCCCUCCGAAAACAAGACCAAGACCAGGUCCAGUCAACCCUGAAUUUCAGUUUUGUCUGCGGUUUUGCUCAUCUCGAUUGACUAUUUGCAGAAUUGAGAUCUCCCUGAAUUUGGAACAGCAAAAUAUCCAAGCUGAGGAUUGGAACCCAGGACCCAGUUCACAUGCAUAUCCCACAUACCUUGAAUCCACAGAUCAGACUUGAUUAAAUUAUUGUUUUGAUUUACAAGCCUUUGGGCCUGACUUCUCCAAUCUUUCAUAAGAGCCCUUUUAUCAUGGAUGGGUGGUUUUUAACUCACAGACUUUGCAGUCUGAAUUAUACUCCUAAAUUUAAAUCUAAAAAUGGUCCCACAUUAAGCAUAUUAGGUUUCCUUUUACACAAAGAAUACUGAAGAUCCAGUCUGUAACUUAUUAUUAACAAGACACCGCAAAGCAGAGGAACUGAAUGAAUUAAGAUGCUUCCUAGAUUUUUUUGCCUUGGAACAAUGAAAAUUCUUGUUCGAGGAUACCUUUUAGUAGUUCGCCCAAUGUGGGAGAUUUUCCUGAUGUGUUAACUUAUUUAUUUUGUUAGUGCAGAAAACAACCAUUAUUUGCUUUGUUUCACUGUCAAGAAAUUCAAAAACGUCUUGCUUCAAAUGAAAAGAUCUGAACUCGUGAGCAUUUUUAAAAGACCUUUACCGAGUUUUGUCUUUUCUGAAUCUAAGGAAGCUAAUUUGCAUGUGAGAAUAUUCUCAAUGAAGUAAAAGAUAGAUAAAUAAAUAAAAAGUCUUUGAUUGAUUAGAACAAAAGGAUGAUUAUUUCCCUUUUACUAACCUUUACUUUUUCAAAUCUAUUAAAUCUUUUUGAUUGGAAAAUUUAUUCUAUUCUAGACCGUCCCCGAGUACAAUGAACUCAAGUCAAGAUACGUCAUCAGGAUAAUGGUGGUGCAGAGUUUUGGGGGGGGGGGAGGCAACCUGAAACACAGAACUAUUUGAGUUGAGGGAACACCCACAUACGUGGUUUAAAAUAUGCAUAGAUGUGCGUCUAUACAGCACCAGUGUGUGUGUGUGUGUGUGCUCAUCUAUGUCUGUACAUAUAUCCAUGUGAAGAUGUACUCCUAUACGAAAUUACCCAGGUACUUACACCUACAGGAAAAUAACCAGAGCAUGCAUUCGCUAUUGGACAGCCCGGCAAUGGUGGGAGAGACUGUGUUCUCUAAAGAUCAUAAAUGGAUAAUAGAUGAUUUAUUUCCCCCAUCCAUGUGGAUUCUAUAAGAAAAAAGGAUUUUUUUCUACAUCAUACAGGGCUCCCUCAUUUGAUAGUCUCUCUGAAUACAACAGCAAGCCGGUAAGGUUGCCCUUAGUUUUGGGGAAGGACUUGCCCCUGGUCCUUUUGCUGUGUCUUGGGUGUGUGCCAACACCAGACACUCCAGGUGCCAUGGCCCGCUCGGAGCUCACUGUGUCUGUGAUGUCACAGUGCUGUCCAAGGCAGGGGACAGCAAUGUGGAGAACAUCCCUCUUAUUAUUAUGUGGGUGGGGUAGAGAUGGAGGCCACCGUCUCUGAACCUGGAUACCUAAUGGUAGAUUUUGACACCGUUGCCUGUGUGUUCAAGGAUUUAAAAAGUGGAGAAUGUAGGAAUGCUCUGCCUCUGUGUGUAAGCAACGGGAAACAGGUGUACAUUCUACCUUGUGUUAUGAAAUCACCUGAUUCUAAAAAAAAGCAGAGACCAGGAAACAGCCUUUGUUUAAAAGCACCCCGAGCUUAGACAAAACCAUAGCUGUCCCCAACUAUGAUGAAUUCUAGGGUCAGUACCAGCAUCUGAUUUUCAAUUUCUUAAAAUUUCAAAAACACUGAAACCAUUAACGAUUGGCUACGUGCAUGUCUUUUACCUAAAUCUGUCACAAAACAAGUCAAAAUAUUUAUGCCAGCAGAGUUUUGUACUUUUGUAUAGUUAAAAAUGCAGGAGUAUAUACAUAGAUACAAAAAUAUUAUUAAAUUAUUAUGUAAAUUUAAUGUUAUAAAAUUUAAUCGUGUUUCUUUUGUCUGGGGAUAAGACCUCGAGCAAAUAUAUUUUCAGUUCAGAUGAUGAAUCUGAAACUGACAUCAUCCUUAAGAAAUCCAAAACAGCUUUUAUGAGUGUCUAAUUUUGUUAUGGUAUUCAGAAAUUUAAAUUUUAUUAGUGUUACUAGAAGGAAAACACUAUUAAUGAAGUAGUAAAAGAAGUAUGUUUCUUUUUUGAAUUUUAGUGAUCCCCAGUAAUAAUCAAAUCAUCAAAAAUCGUUAAAUUUUUUUUGAAUUUUAGAAAUGUGAGUGCCCUAAUAAAAGUGACAGAAAUCUAUUCGUUUUUUUCAAAAUAAGAAACCAUUUUAGUUCAUCAGUUUUGAAUGUGCUUUAUUGAAAUUAGAUGCAUUUCUCUCCAAUGAGAAAAGUAGAUCCAAUGAUUAAAAAAUCGAGUUCAUCAAUAAUAUCCCCACCAGAUAGAGAUGGUUAAUUCGAUAUAUCCAACAGCCAUCUACAUUAUUUUCACUUAUAAGAUUUACUCCUUAGUGAUGAAUUUUUCUGUGCUGACACCUUUUUCUAAGUGAAAUUUCAUGGAAAGGAUUUUUACAAACUAGCAUGUGUCCAUUAAAUACUUGUUACGGCAUAUGACAUAUUAAAGUUUAUGACAGGUAUUUUUGAAAUGUUUAUUAAGUAAUACGUUCAGAUUAAAAACACACCCAAAUCCUGGAAAUACCCUGCUCCCCGACACCCACAUGAACUGACUCAAUCAGGAUUUCUCAAAUGUAGCACUUUUAAAUUGGGCCUGCAGAGGUCUUUGGUGUAGGGGGCUAUGCAUUGCAGGGUGUUUACCUGUCCCCGGGGGCACGAGAAGACCCCAUUGAGAACUGGUGAUCUUUACUGAGAAUUUGCCCUUUAUAAGAAAAGCCCCAAUGUAUCAGCAAAUGCCACGUACAAUACUUAUUUAUAUCCUUUAUUACACUGUGUCCACGGUUUUUCAAAUUUACACAUCCCCAUAAUUGCAAAUAACUCUAAAUCUUAUUAAAAGAAGAUUUACACCAUACCCAGAGCACCAAGGCUAAGUAUCUGCAUGUAUCUGAAACUUCAUCUUGAAAUAUAAAGGAAUCCAUGAAGAUGUGCACUCUCACCUAUGAUUUUGCAUGACCACAGUCGGUUUCCUGUAAGGCAUGGACCCUCCUGACUGUCUUACCGCUGCUGAAUAUUUUAGCAACUUAUACAAUUUAUAGAGUGAUUAACUGAGUUCUGUAUAAAGUUAUUAUUUUUUUCCUCUUCUUUAAUUAUAUUGUAGUUUGCAGAUAACAGAGCUGUUACCCUCUCACCCAAAAGGUCUGUAGAAGUCAUGUCACUUCUCGCGGUCACUGAAAGUCAGUAUUUAUUUAUGUGUGUAAUAAAAAACAGUUGGAUUUCUGUGUAUGUCUGUCAUGUUAUUUAGAGAGAAGUAAUCUUGUAAAAAACGUUUUGUAAAGAAAAAACAAGAAAGUAUUGUACAUAGCCUGAUAUUCCACGACUCGUUAUUUUCCUGUUAGAGUUUGUACAUACUGAUUCAGUAAUAAAGCAUCUUUAAACCUGUCUGGGGAUUUGAUCC